GCAUACUACCAGAAUGCAAAGGCAUGGUCUGGAAAGAAAAAGAACCAACCAAAAAGAAAAAUAAGCACUAGAAAGCAAAGCCAAAGGAGCAGGAAACAAAAGCCAAAAGGAAAAGAAAAAGAGCAAAGUAAACAAAGGGAAAAAGUACCAAAAAAAAGCAAGGGCGUUGACUGCAACAAUAUGGCAAAGCAAAAAAUUGAAAGCAACACAGUGAGACAAUAUAAAAGCUAACAAAAUCUGAGACGAGAACAAGGAAAUCAAAAAAAAAAUUAAACCAGAAUGAAAGUCAACAAGCAAAUUGGAAAGUAGGACAAAGCAAAGCUACGCCCGAAAACCAAGAGCCAAGGAACAGAAUGAACAACCAAAAGGAAAGCAAACCAAAAAAAACAAACAAAGAUGAAAUGAACAAAGCAGAGCAAAGGAAAAGGAGCAGUAGAGAAAGCAAAACCAAGUAGAAAAAAGAAAGCAAACCAAUGUGAUGCAAUGGAAAAACAGACACAAUAAACGGAAAGACAAAGAACCAAAGCCCACCAACAGAACAGCAAAGCAAUCGGAUUCAAUGUGACAGCAAAGCAAAGGUGACAAGAGACUGCGGUGCCGGCAAAAACUCACCAUCCGUGCCUGGGAGGAGGUCAGGGUAGCUACUGGGCAUGCUGCCACCUCCAGCAGAGAUGCACGUCCUCAGCUGGUGCCCGUGGAGGAGUCUGCGGCUGCAAGCAGGACAAAACAUCUCUCUGGAGGAAGGCAAAGCGCUGGUGGUCAUGCCGAGGAGGAGGUCAGGGUAGCUACCGGGCACGGAUGCUGCCAGGCAUCUGAAGAAAAGCCUCAAGUCCACACUGAGGACAGAGGCAAGGACAGGGAGGAUGUAAAAAUGAACCGUCCAGAAGGCUAACGUCAGGUAAGUAAAGGCAAGGUAAGAGGAAGGAAGCAGCCAUGGGGACGAGGAAGGAGGAAGAACGUAAUGAAAGCAAAAGGAAAAGAGGAGAACAGAGAAGGCAUACUACCAGAAUGCAAGGGCAUGGUCUGGAAAGAAAAAGAACCAACCAAAAAGAAAAAUAAGCACUAGAAAGCAAAGCCAAAGGAGCAGGAAACAAAAGCCAAAAGGAAAAGAGCAAACAAAGUAAAGGGAAAAAGUACCAAAAAAAAGCAAGGGCGUUGACUGCAACAAUAUGGCAAAGCAAAAAAUUCAAAGCAACACAGUGAGACAAUAUAAAAGCUAACAAAAUCUGAGACGAGAACAAGGAAAUAAAAAAAAAAUUAAACCAGAAUGAAAGUCAACAAGCAAAUUGGAAAGUAGGACAAAGCAAAGCAACGCCCGAAAACCAAGAGCCAAGGAACAGAAUGAACAACCAAAAGGAAAGAAACCAAAAAAAACAAACAAAGAUGAAAUGAACAAAGCAGAGCAAAGGAAAAGGAGCAGUAGAGAAAGCAAAACCAAGUAGAAAAAAGAAAGCAAACCAAUGUGAUGCAAUGGAAAAACAGACACAAUAAACGGAAAGACAAAGAACCAAAGCCCACCAACAGAACAGCAAAGCAAUCGGAUUCAAUGAGACAGCAAAGCAAAGGUGACCAGAGACUGCGGUGCCGGCAAAAACUCACCAUCCG